UACGAAGGGGGCCAGCGUUGUUCGGAAUUACUGGGCGUAAAGCGCAUGCAGGCGGAUCGCUAAGUCAGGGGUGAAAGCCCGAGGCUCAACCUCGGAACUGCCUUUGAUACUGGCGAUCUUGAGUCCGGGAGAGGUGAGUGGAACUCCGAGUGUAGAGGUGAAAUUCGUAGAUAUUCGGAAGAACACCAGUGGCGAAGGCGGCUCACUGGCCCGGUACUGACGCUGAGAUGCGAAAGCGUGGGGAGCAAACAGG
rnacentral:rRNA from 1 species